rnacentral:ncRNA from 1 species
GUAUCACCAUCAUAGGGCUGUGAUCGGAGUAAUCCGAUCAUGAAUAUCUGUCAAAUUCGGGGAAACCUAAAGAUCGUUAUGCGAUUUAUGGCAAUCCCGAGCCAAGUCUCCUGCUUAGCAGGAGAAAGGUGUAGAGACUAGACGGCAGACAUCCUUUUGAUAGCAAGGAAGGCGACUUGAUCGCUUCGCUUCCUGUCUCUCUUUGGGAUGAAGGGAUAGUCCAGCUUACAAACUCGAAAGAGAUCA